AUACGUAGGGUGCAAGCGUUGUCCGGAAUUAUUGGGCGUAAAGAGCUCGUAGGCGGCUUGUCGCGUCUGCUGUGAAAUCCCGAGGCUCAACCUCGGGCUUGCAGUGGGUACGGGCAGGCUAGAGUGCGGUAGGGGAGAUUGGAAUUCCUGGUGUAGCGGUGGAAUGCGCAGAUAUCAGGAGGAACACCGAUGGCGAAGGCAGAUCUCUGGGCCGCUACUGACGCUGAGGAGCGAAAGCAUGGGGAGCGAACAGGAUUAGAUACCCUGGUAGUCCAUGCCGUAAACGUUGGGAACUAGAUGUAGGGCCUGUUCCACGGGUUCUGUGUCGUAGCUAACGCAUUAAGUUCCCCGCCUGGGGAGUACGGCCGCAAGGCUAAA
rnacentral:rRNA from 1 species